rnacentral:rRNA from 1 species
UACGUAGGGUGCGAGCGUUAAUCGGAAUUACUGGGCGUAAAGCGCGCGCAGGCGGUCCUUUAAGUCUGAUGUGAAAGCCCACGGCUCAACCGUGGAAGGUCAUUGGAAACUGGGGGACUUGAGUGCAGAAGAGGAAAGUGGAAUUCCAAGUGUAGCGGUGGAAUGCGCAGAUAUCAGGAGGAACACCGAUGGCGAAGGCAGAUCUCUGGGCCGUAACUGACGCUGAGGAGCGAAAGCAUGGGGAGCGAACAGG